AUACGGAGGAUCCGAGCGUUAUCCGGAAUCAUUGGGUUUAAAGGGUCCGUAGGCGGCCCUGUAAGUCAGCGGUGAAAUCUCCCGGCUCAACCGGGAAACUGCCGUUGAUACUGCAGGGCUUGAAUUGCCGGGAAGUAACUAGAAUAUGUAGUGUAGCGGUGAAAUGCUUAGAUAUUACAUGGAAUACCGAUUGCGAAGGCAGGUUACUACCGGCGUAUUGACGCUGAUGGACGAAAGCGUGGGGAGCGAACAGGAUUAGAAACCCUUGUAGUCC
rnacentral:rRNA from 1 species